CUCAUUCUAUCACCCAGGCUGGAGUGCAGCGGCGCGAUCUCGGCCCACCGUAAGCUCCGCCUCCCGGGCUCAAGCGAUCCUCCCACUUCAGCCUCCUGAGUAGCUGGGACUCCAGGUGAGCGCCCUGCUAAUUUUAUAUUUUUGGUAGAGACGGGGUUUCGCCAUGUUGCCCAGGCUGGUCUCAACUCCUGGUCUCAAGUGAUCCGCCUGCCUUGGCCUUCCAAAGUGCUGGGCUUACAGGCGGGAGCCACUGCACCCAGCCCUACGCCCCAUCUUUCUGGGUUUCUGCCUGGUAUUGUUACAUCUCCAACAGGCUUAACUCAAAGCUGACUUUCCGCCUGUGCUGUAUCUGCCCCAUGGUCCUUUAGAGUAUAUAAAAUAUAAAUGGCACUUUGGGAGGCCGAG
rnacentral:lncRNA from 1 species